AGUACCAACAUAGAAUAAUAAAAUAUAACCAUGAAAACUGUGCGUUUCUGAUAUAUUCUCGCACGAUUUUGUUCUACAAGAUGUGGAAGAAUGAACGGAAUAACCACAGAAUUAGAGAAAAGUUCUUAUCUACCCACUAGUAACUUUUAUAAUUCUCAAAUUCGCAAGUGUUCAUUAUUUCAAAAGACAAAAAUUAAGAAUUGGAAGAAAUUGUGAAAAAUAUUUAACUAAUUAAGAUAUUAUUCUAUCUGUUCUCUGGUUUGACUGAUCCUUUUCCUAUAGAAUUGUUUGUUUUCCGAGCAUAUUCCAGUUUAAAAUUUUUUUUUAUUGAACCUUCAACAUCGGACAAAGCUCAAAAUUUUCAUAAUUUACGUCCUAGAAUCGGUUAAUUUGACUGUUGGAGAUCUAAUAUUCACCUAUAUGCAGUUAUUUCACCUUCAAAAGUGCAAUUGGCGCAUCUGGCUCUACAUCAGAGUUGUCUUGAUUUUGUAUUAAUCAAUUUUGUUAUUUUUUAUUGGACAAGAAAAGUACGUUUCUUGAAUAUUGUCGUUUUCAAAAGUUUCUGAAUGAAAAAUAAUAUAUUUUUUACAUGUUCCAGAGCAUAGUUACUGGUUUAUUUUGAGCCCCACCCGUAUAGGUAUUUCCUUCAAUUAGUUUCAGAUCUGAUUCUAGAUGCUUCAAAAGGGCAAUUCCUCAGCAUAAGAAAUGACGAUGUUGUGUCGUUUUAGUUACAAUGGAAGGAAUUUGAAGCAUAGUCCUAAUUAUGGAUUCUACAGAAGAAGUUGUGAUGCUAACGAAAGGAAAUCGAAAAUUUCGAGAAAAUCAUAAGUAAUUAUGAUUUUUUUGUUCUGUUUUUUAGGGGGUUUUUCUAGUCGCUACUUGUACAUUAUUUAUGCUCAUGAAUAGAUGACCCAGGAGUCUGUGAAUGUUCUCUGGAGUACCAGAAAGAAACCUUGAAGGAAAAAUGUAUAGGACUUGGGAAAAGGACUACCCAGCAGUACCUAAGAAGAUUAGUUAAAGGAAAACCGUCUGAAGGAAUAAAAUAAGACUUGAGGACGCAAAGUAUUUGCUUUUAAAAAAAAAUAUUCAACAUCAUAUUCUGAUAAAAGUACAUUAAUUCCUUCCUUACGAACAUGUAACUAGGAGUCAGUCAGAUGUGGUUCAGCAAAAUCACCCAGAAAAUUAUGGAGAUGAACUAAUUGAGAGAUCAUGAGUGGAACCCUAGAAGUAUCUGUCUACUUUCAUCCAAUAUAUUCAGCUACCAAAUUCUGUGGUCGAAACACUUUCUGUGAUUACUGUUGAGAAUUGAAAAGUCAUUAACAAUUGCUAUGAAGAUUAGAGUGGACUUGUUUCUUAUUCGACAUUGUAUUACAUCUGGAACGUCUCUACUCUCGAAUAAUGAAUACUGAGUUGUCAAUAAUCUAUCCUGUUCAAAAUGAGAUCCGGAAUGGACCACAUUGAAAUGAAGGAACUCAACUCAAAGUGAGGUGGCAGACUAGAAGGAAGUUUCUUUUGAACGCUGAAGGACAGAAUAGAUACACACUGAAGAACUCAGAGAAAGGAAGUGGGCAGUUCCUGAUUUCAAUAUCCUUGAUAUCUUAAAUAACUGCAAUUUGUUACAUUUUAGUUCUUUGUUUUUAUGUGCACUCGUUCAGUAUGCCCAAUAUUCCAACAAAGAAUUUUUAAUUUUUUGUCCAAAAUAGUCAAUUCAUGGAUGAACAAUUCUUGGUAUAAAUUGUUUCUGUCCGUUAAAAAGAAACGCUUAGAGAUUUGAGAUUUUCAUGGUUUAUGCACCUUUCAAAAUUCCAUUUUCCCAAUAAUUCUGAAUUUGAAACUAAGUAGUUAGUUAUAAAAUGAGGGCAACAAAAACUUAAUUCCAAAUUUUUAAAGUAUCACAUCAUUUGAAAAUUCUAAAAUAUUUUUAUAUUUCUCAAAAUUUUUAUACAGGGUGGCCAUUUGAAAACGAAACAGACGAGAUUACAGACGAAAUGAAGUUUUUCGAUAGAAAUGCUCGGA